rnacentral:rRNA from 1 species
GAUAAGGUUAAGUGAAUAAGGGCGCACGGUGGAUGCCUUGGCACUAGGAGCCGAUGAAGGACGGGACUAACACCGAUAUGCUUUGGGGAGCUGUAAGUAAGCUAUGAUCCAGAGAUUUCCGAAUGGGGGAACCCAAUAUCUUUUAUAGGAUAUUACUUUUCAGUGAAUACAUAGCUGAUUAGAGGUAGACGCAGAGAACUGAAACAUCUUAGUACCUGCAGGAAGAGAAAGAAAAUUCGAUUCCCUGAGUAGCGGCGAGCGAAACGGGAAGAGCCCAAACCAACAAGCUUGCUUGUUGGGGUUGUAGGACUCCAAUAUGGUAGUCUGUUAGUAUAGUUGAAGGAUUUGGAAAAUUCCGCUAAAGAGGGUGAAAGCCCCGUAGACGAAAUGCUAACAACACCUAGGAGGAUCCUGAGUACGGCGGAACACGAGAAAUUCCGUCGGAAUCCGCGGGGACCAUCCCGCAAGGCUAAAUACUCCCUAGU